rnacentral:rRNA from 1 species
CUCGCUGCCACGUCCGUCCCUACCUCUACCGUCUCCUCCCUCCCUCCAUCCGUGGACUCCUCCACUCCACCGGAGGCCGGAGCCGAGAGCGAUAGAUAGAUACUUUGCUUUCCCCUCCCCUUCCCCCAUCCCUUCCCUCUCUCCCAGGUCUCUUCACCACCACGCCGACGCGGCACCCGGCCGGAGGAGUUCAAGAAAGUCCAAGACCACUCAUCAAGGGCGAUGCCGCCGCGGCGGCCCAACACCGGCGGGGGCGGGGGCACCUCCUCGGCCGCGCCGCCGCCUCCGCCGCGCAAGGUCCCGCUCCGCUCCCUGCUCCGGGCGGCCUCCGUCGCCUGCGGGGUCCAAUUCGGGUGGGCGCUGCAGCUCUCGCUGCUCACCCCCUACGUCCAAGAACUCGGCAUCCCGCACGCCUUCGCCAGCCUGGUCUGGCUCUGCGGCCCGCUGUCGGGCCUCCUGGUGCAGCCGCUGGUGGGCCACCUCUCGGACCGCAUCGCGCCGGCCAACUCCCCGCUGGGCCGUCGCCGGCCCUUCAUCGCCGCGGGCGCCGCCUCCAUCGCCUUCUCCGUGCUCACCGUCGGCUUCUCCGCCGACCUGGGGCGGCUCUUCGGGGACAACAUCGUGCCCGGGUCCACUCGGUUCGGCGCCAUCAUCGUCUACCUCAUCGGCUUCUGGCUGCUGGACGUCGGCAACAACGCCACGCAGGGGCCAUGCCGCGCCUUCCUCGCAGACCUCACAGAGAAUGACCCGAGGAGGACCCGGAUCGCCAACGCCUACUUCUCGCUCUUCAUGGCCCUGGGGAACAUACUCGGGUACGCCACCGGGGCAUACAAUGGCUGGUACAAGAUAUUCCCGUUCACUAUCACCGAGUCCUGCAGCGUCAGCUGCGCCAACCUCAAGUCUGCGUUCCUGCUCGAUAUCAUCAUCCUAGCGAUCACGACAUACGUUAGCGUGGUGACGGUGCAGGACAACCCUACUUUCGGAAGCGACGAGGCGGCGCCUCCGAGCAGCCACGAGGAGGAGGCUUUCCUCUUUGAGCUUUUCGGGUCGUUCAAGUACUUCACGAUGCCUGUUUGGAUGGUCUUGAUCGUCACCUCGCUUACCUGGAUCGGGUGGUUCCCUUUCAUCCUCUUUGAUACCGACUGGAUGGGCCGAGAGAUCUACCGGGGAAGCCCGGAGAUCGUCGCCGACACCCAAAAGUAUCAUGACGGUGUGAGAAUGGGCUCUUUUGGUCUCAUGCUCAACUCGGUCGUUCUCGGGAUCACAUCUAUUGGAAUGGAGAAGUUGUGUAGGAAGUGGGGAGCUGGACUUGUAUGGGGUGUCUCCAAUAUCAUCAUGGCUCUGUGCUUCGUGGCGAUGCUUAUUAUAACAUACGUUGCGCAGAACCUGGAUUAUGGACCUAGUGGAGCACCUCCAACCGGCAUUGUCGCCGCUUCCCUCAUUGUGUUCACAAUCCUAGGAGCACCUCUGUCGGUCACGUACAGUAUACCAUAUGCGAUGGCUGCAAGUCGUGUUGAAAAUCUUGGGCUAGGCCAAGGUCUAGCAAUGGGCAUUCUUAAUUUAUCUAUUGUGAUACCACAGAUCAUCGUGUCGCUGGGCAGCGGGCCGUGGGACCAGCUCUUCGGCGGAGGGAACGCGCCAUCCUUCUGGGUGGCCGCCGCAGCCUCGUUUGUGGGCGGGCUGGUAGCCAUCCUUGGGCUCCCGCGAGCCCGGCUCGGACCGAAGAAGAAAACCACCCAACGAUGAUGAUUCGAGUGAGCGAAGCGAGUAUACAGAGACAUUGUUAUGUUGCAGACAAGGAAGGAAGGCAGGUUGGUCUCAAGUUGCAACCAUUCAUUCUUUGCACACUGGUUCCAAGACACUGGGAACGCUGCCUACACUACACUAGGCAUGGGGGGUCUGUAUAUUGUCAUCAUCAAGUUGGGUUCGGUUCAAAUUCAAGGCCAAAAGUAGGAGGGCUCUGGAAUUUUCCUCCAUGGGCCCUAUCGUCGCCUUUUUUUCGCUUGUCGGUGUGAAACAUGGUCGGUCAUAUGUUGUUGUAUAUCGGAUAUUUUGUCAUUUUGUCGGAGAUUAUCAAUCAAGCAAUAAAAGUUGCAGGGUUUUGUUUGA